CCUACGGGGGGCAGCAGUAAGGAAUAUUGGUCAAUGGACGCAAGUCUGAACCAGCCAUGCCGCGUGAAGGAUGAAGGUCCUCUGGAUUGUAAACUUCUUUUAUAUGGGACGAAACCCCGGCAUUCCUGCCGGACUGACGGUACCAUAGGAAUAAGCACCGGCUAACUCCGUGCCAGCAGCCGCGGUAAUACGGAGGGUGCAAGCGUUAUCCGGAUUCACUGGGUUUAAAGGGUGCGUAGGAGGGCAGGUAAGUCAGUGGUGAAAUCUCCGGGCUUAACUCGGAAACUGCCGUUGAUACUAUCUGCCUUGAAUACCGUGGAGGUGAGCGGAAUAUGUCAUGUAGCGGUGAAAUGCUUAGAUAUGACAUAGAACACCGAUUGCGAAGGCAGCUCACUACACGAAUAUUGACUCUGAGGCACGAAAGCGUGGGGAUCAAACAG
rnacentral:rRNA from 1 species